AUGGCCGAGUUGUUGUCACGGGGAAGGCAGAGCACAUGGGGUGGAGAACUACCCUUGGCACAUGCGCAGAUUAUUUGUUUACCACUUAGAACACGGCUGUCAGCGCCAUCUUGUAGCGGCGAAUGUGGGGGCGGCUCCCCACAGGAUAGGAAACAAGAGUUAAGGUGCUUCAAACCAGUUGGCUUAGCUGGGAAAUCCCAAUCCACUUCCGUAGUACACAGGAGCAACACAGGGGAAAGCAUUGUCUACACAGGCCUCAGUGCUGUCUGUACCAUUAGACACCCAUCGGGGAAGUCUUCAAAUGCAUCCUGUUCUGUGAAUCUGGCCAAAGAACCUAUGAUGAGUUAGCCUCCUGAUGAUGUAAGAUUGUCAUAUGUCCUCAUCUAUGCUAAUAAUGUGCUCUGACAAAUCAGUGAAUUGGCUUUUAAAUUAUCGAGUGUGUAAUUUGAUGAAUGAGUCAGUACAAGAGGUGGAAUGCAGGCA
rnacentral:lncRNA from 1 species